GCGGCUACUGCUAUCAGGUUUCGACUAAGCCAUGCGAGUCAAGGGGUCGCAAGACACCGGCGUACUGCUCAGUAACACGCGGACAAUCUACCCCCAGGUGGAGGAUAACCUCGGGAAACUGAGGCUAAUACCCCAUAGUUGUCAUGUGCUGGAAUGCUUUGACGAUGAAAGAAUUUCGCCUGAGGAUGAGUCUGCGGCCUAUCAGGUAGUAUGUGGUGUAAAGGACCACAUAGCCUAAGACGGGUACGGGCCUUGAAAGAGGGAGCCCGGAGAUGGACUCUGAGACACUAGUCCAGGCCCUACGGGGCGCAGCAGGCGCGAAAACUGUGCAAUGCGCGCAAGCGCGACACGGGAAGCCUGAGUGCCUUAACUAUGUUAAGGCUUUUCUUGACCCUAAAAAGCUCAAGGAAUAAGAGCUGGGUAAGACGGGUGCCAGCCGCCGCGGUAACACCCGCGGCUCGAGUGGUAGUCACUUUUAUUGAGCCUAAAGCGUUUGUAGCCGGAUUUGUAAAUCUCUAGGAAAAUACUUCUGCUUAACUGAAGAAAUUUUGGAGAGACUGCAAAUCUAGGGACCGGGUGAGGUUGAAUGUACUUCUGGGGUAGGGGUAAAAUCCUGUAAUCCUGGAAGGACGACCGGUGGCGAAGGCGUUCAACUAGAACGGAUCCGACGGUGAGGAACGAAGGCUAGGGGAGCAAACCGGAUUAGAUACCCGGGUAGUCCUAGCUGUAAACACUGCCCACUUGGUGUUGCAUCUCCGGUAAGGGGGUGCAGUGCCGUAGCGAAGGUGUUAAGUGGGCCGCUUGGGGAGUAUGGUCGCAAGGCUGAAACUUAA
rnacentral:rRNA from 1 species